ensembl:lncRNA
AGUUGUCAGCCCAACUGAGAAAACACAGUGUGCCUUUUAUUAUUUUCAUGGUUUUGUUGGGUGAGCGGACUGCAGUGUCAAAUUCUCUAUAUGAACAUGGUCAGUGUAGUUACAAGCUGUGUCCCAAACUUAAGUGCAUGGACUCCGGAGGGUGCAUUUGAACUGCGAAUCCGUCACAGCGGCGCAAGGAAGGCUGUCCCAAACUGAAGUGUGUGGACUCUGAAGUGCGGAUAUGAAGUGCCAUUGCGUCACGACGUAAGCUGUCCUAAAGUCAGAAUGUGCACUUCGAAGGCCGCAUUCCAAGGCCGAUUGCGUCACCGCGGCAUGACAAAGGCUAAUGCAUUUCGAAAGUGACGUCAAAUGCGCCCUCCGUUUCCUGGGAAAAUUAAGUGUACAUCUGAUGGACACUUCGCACCCUACCAUAUCCCAGAAUCACUUACACGGACAACGGUGUUUAUAUUCAAAGAACAGGGCAGGUGAGAGAUCUGUGGGGGAAUUCACAUUGAAAUGAUUGCAUGUGUGUUGGGACAGGUGAGAGAGGCUGGUGUAGCUGCUAAGAGAAGACAUCAAACUCCAGAGCGAGACAGAGGAGAGAAGAGCACAGGAGAGCGAGACAGAGGAGAGAAGAGCACAGGAGAGAGAGACAGAGGAGAGAAGAGCACAGGAGAGAGAAACAAAGGAGAGAAGAGCACAGAAGAGCAAGGAGAGAAUGGAGAGACUGUUUUCUGUUCUUGAGAGAAUGCUUAACAAAUGCAUUGUAUAUUAGCCAUUCUUUAUUAGCCAAAAGAAAGCAGUGGAAAAAUGGGUAAUAUUACAUUACAAGUUUUCUAUAGCUUUUUUUUAAAUGUCACAUUGUCAGUGAAAUAACCUAAUUGCUGUAGUUUAUUUUUGUGAUGUAAGUAAAAAAUUAAAUGAAUAAGUUGUAUACAUUAUUAAUUUUUGUAGUGUAAUUUAUGUGUAAAUGAGCCUGAGUACUUUCUGUACAUUUAGCAUUUUUGUUUUGCAUAUUCACAUGUAAAUAAAAGAGAAGUAAUUAUGUACAUUGUUAUUUUUUUUUAAUGCAGCUUAUAAUUUUUAACAAAACAUCCGUCUGUGUUAAUUUUUUUGUCCUGUAAAUAUUUGUAUUUUUUUUUUAAAUAAAAGUUCUAUACAUUACUGUUUUUUUUUUCUUCUUUUUUUCCUUUUUUUUUUUUACAACAUAGCUUAGGUUUAGCAUCAGAAAAACGACAUCCGUUUUGAGCCCAGCCCUGCCUCCAUGUGUUCUGGAGUCUUCAGGAGGUCAAUCUCUUGGUGAAUGGCCAGCACCUCCUCAGCGACUCGGAGGAUAAUGCGGUGACAGUGGAACAAAGGACAUGUCAAACACUCUGGAGACCACUCUGUAUGAUGUACCACUGGCAGACCAGGGUCUGGAUUGUGGCACUUCUCAGAAGAUCCAGCAGCAUUGUCAGGGCCUCCCUGCUCAGCCCAAAACCAUUAAAAACCUGUCCAGCGCUGCCACAUUCAGCUUUAUCCUACAGUACAGGGAUCUGGUCUGAUUUAGGGAAAGAAGGAAAAGAGAAAUUGUUUAGAGCUAUGAAAAAGUAAUUAGUAGAAGAAAUACUGAGAUACUUUAGUCAAGUACUUUUAGUAACUACUAAUACCACAUUGGGGAAAAACUACUAGUCAUAUUUAAAACCUUAGCUAAAGGGAUAGUUCACCCAAAAUUAAAAUUCUAAACCUGGAACAACUUAAGGGUGAGUAAAUGAUUACAGAAUCAUUUAAGUAAAAGUAUUAUCUUGCAUACUCUAAUAUACUUAAAGUAUUGACAGUAAAGGUAUACAAUAUUGUUCUGAAAAAAAAAAAAGAAGUUUUGCAUUAAUAUUACUGCAGCACUGAUGUUUAUGUUGCAUUUUACUUCUAAAUAUGUUCAAGGUUAUUAACUUUAAAGUUGCCUACUAAAUAUACUGUUGGGUAGUUUAAUCUACAACAAUGCAUCAUGUUGUAAAAGACCAUAUUUUUAUAGUGCUGCGGUCCUGUGAGAAAAAAGAAAAAAAAAGAAAAAAAAGAAAAAUAAAACUUAGUACUUCAUAUUUGUACGAGUAUACUUAAUGAAUGUACUUCCUUACAGUCCACCUCUGAUCAUUUUCAAAAUGAAAGUAACAACAUUUAUUGUCAGAAUAUUACAAUAAAUAAUAUUCUGUGUGUGUGUGUGUGUGUGUGUGUGUAUUUUGUAGUUUUUCAUAUGUAUCAUUACAUUAUUCAAGUAAGCUCCAAACGAAUUCCUGCAUUUAAAGUUGUAAUCUGACAAAGGACGCAGCAAACCAGUGUAAUUUACUUGGCCUCGGUUUUGGCUAAGCCUGAGGUACAUCACCGUCUCCUCUAUUAUGACGUAAAACAUAAAAACAAAAACGAGCAAUUCUGGCUCUGCCUAUCCUGGCAGGAUUGUCCUCUCGUCAGCUCUCCUCUCGCACCGUUGCUAAGCGAUAGAGCACUAAUCGGAAUCACCUGGUGGCGGAAUUAGGAAAUCCUGUGAAGGCGGAGCAUCUCACGCACUCCGGAGGGCCCUUUGUGCUCUCCGGAGGCCUGGUCUUCGAAGUCCGUGGCCUUCGAAGGGUGUACACUCAACUUUGGGACACAGCUACAUUAUCUACAUCCAUACACUGCUAAGUUCAUCCACACUGACUAUAACAUCAGUUUCAAAUCAGUUCAUUGGACCAGCUGAGGAAACAGAAAGAGGUUGGUGCGAUGCUGUGUAAAACAUUGCCUCACUCAGCAGGUAUGGUGUAAUGGGAUUUCACGGUGUAGCCACUCACUUGCAGUGGUUUGAUCAUAUUUUCUGACUCUGGCUAAUAUACAUAUUCCAGAACACAAUUCUCUAUAUUUUGUAAAGAAGCACAAAUAACAAAACUUGGUAAAAUAGGUUCUUGUUGUUUUCACUGUGCCUCUAAUGGCCUGCCACUUGCAGCAACUAAAGAUUGAUUUUUAAGACAGUCUAACAAUGUCUGUACCUGUGGCUUCCAAGGAAUCAAAGUGCAAUGACUCUGGAAUUAAAAGAUCCCCCUGAGUUGUUUUGCUUUAAGCUCAAAAGCCGUUCUGAACAUAAUAAAUUUUCCCCAUGCGUCAGAUCUCAAUUUGCUGACUACCAAGCUUGAACUGGAUGUCUAAGUAUUCCACACAUAUAAGAGUUAAGUGGGCCACAUCGAGUAAUCAGAUACUCAUGUUCUCACUGCCUUUUCCCUACGGUCAAGUCAUCUUUCCACAGCUGCUGGAGUCAGUGCAGCGAGAGCUCGGCAGUGUGCAUUAGUUCAUUCCAUCACAGUCCACACCUGGCUCUCCAGCGGAGCCUGAGCUCCCAUUAUUUCCAUAUGGCAGGGUUCCAUCAAGCCCUCUGCAUGGAGGCUUCCCCCAUAACACAACACAGAGACAAGGAGGACACAAGCUCAGCAGUCAUCAGGAGAAUCUGUUUUCAACUUCUACCACUUGCUUUUUUCCUCCCUGCUAGCACCGAUCUCUCAUUUUCAUAAUAACAUCUUUCUAGGCAAACUCAGAAGGCCUUUCCCAUGACUUGGAGUGAGAGUAAAUUUUCCAGAGGCUUGGGUUGUUGAGAACCUGAAGAAUAAAACUUAAAUCCCUACUCUCUAAACCCUGCCCAAUACUUCCUUCAGUGAGGAAAUGUAAUAUCGUUCCUGCGUCUGCAGGCGAGCUGUCAAAACCAGUUGCAGCAGGGUCAGAGAGAUAGUCUCAACCCUGCUGUUUUUAUGUAACCAGAGUAAUGUAAAAUUAAAUCAAGUCUCCGCCUGAAAAUAUAUGAGGCAUGUUUUGGAAGAAUUCUUCCGCUACAUUACUUUGAUGCAGUGACGGCAUCUCUUAAAACCCCUGUGCGCAUCAGGAGAAUUUGGUUUAUUACAGAACGCCCCCAUUCUCAGACUGCAAUUCCAAGUGAAUAUAUGCGAAAACUCUCCAAAUAAGCAAAUGAGAUUCAGAAUAAAUGCUGAGUUUCUCAGUGCCACCCAGGGGUAUUGUGCACAGCUGUCUCGCAGAGGGAGUUUUGUGGGCAAAUGUGUGCGCGGGAAACAAUGGCACAUAUUUGUCCUUGACUGAAGCUGCUGCUUGCUAAAACUGUCAUGUUGGUCUCAACUGACUGAAUGUCCCCCCGCCCUCCUGGAAAUCUAGCCAAUCAAUUAAUCGCUGACCUUCGUGAUUCAUACAUCCAAAAAAAAAAAGUGCGGGGUGACAUUGCCCACUUCAUCUUGUUGAACACCCUUUUACAACUGCGGCUCAGUCUCCUAAUGGACCGGCCUACACAGUGAGUGAGGAGAAGCUUUGAAAAGAAGAUUUUCCCAAGAUGCAUUGUAACUGAAGUUCACCCAGACAAUGGCUAACUAAUCUAUGAGUUGUACGCUUUGCAAUUUGUAUUUCUGUACAUGUAGCAGGAACCUUUGCUCUGUGGUCUUUACCAAGUGAGUUCAGUUGCAGGGGAGUAUAUGAAAGCAAACACGAAAGAACGCCAGAUGAAAUGUUUUGUAAAAGCUAAAGACAGACUUGUCCUUGACCAACUUGUUAGCUGAGGUGAUGCACUCAUGAACACAGUUUCAAUGAGCACAAUCAUUCCAGGACCAAUCAGUGUUCCAUCUUUAGGAAAAUCCUUGAGACCUUCAGGACCUUCACAACAAUAGUUAAAAAAAAAAAACGUCAAAUAAUGCAGUGCACAGAAAUCAAUUGGCGCUGGUCACUCAAAAAUCAAUGCACCUUUUAAAAAGUUAUUGAUGACCUAUGCUAAGAUCAUGAAGGGCACUUGUGGCUAGGGUCUGUCAUUGAGUACAUGGCAUGUGAAGUCAAUUGUGACCUUCACAGUUCUAAGAGGAGGAGGAUAAAGGGGUACUUAUGAAAGAUUAGACUCACACAUCUGUUCUCGAGCAGAGCUGGAACAUUCUCUCUCUCUCUCUCUCUCUCUCUCUCUCUCUCUCUCUCUCUCUCUCUCUCUCUCUCGAAUGAUACAGUAGACUAUGUCUCACAAUACAGCAGAAAUGGGUCCUCCUCUCCCCUAGCUGCAUGUGGCUUCUCCCUUGACGCAUAAUAUUAAUUAGGAAAAGACUCUGUCAGAGACAUUACUCUGACUCUGUAACUUUAAUGACUUCAACCUCAGCACCCAAUCUAAUUUUAAUAUUAUUUUAUUUUAAUCAUACUUAAUUGAAUAUGAAAUAUACCAGACGUUCCC